UCUCUGAAUUUUUGUUGAAUUUGCGGAAACAUGUUGAUUUUACUAGCUGCCUGUGGAAUGUAGAGUACUCCAAGUGCUAUGGUAAGUUGGUGAGGCACAAGGUGGAGAAGAAAUAUGUGCUCAAGAAGAGACGAGUUGUGCAACCAACGGACCGAACUCGCAGAUGCAGCUUAUUGCGACAGUCAGGAAUCCAUUUAUCGUGGAGUACAAAGAUUUGUGGGUGAAAAAGAGGCUUCUGGUGCAGAAAAUUCUGAUGAAACAUGUGAAAGUUUUGCUUUUGCAUUAGUCAAUGGUGCUCUUGGUGUGUUUGAAGUUCAUGGGCGCCGGAUACGAGAUUUUAGGUAUUUCAAUUGCUGUCUUUGUAGCUUUCAACUAUUAAAGUAUAAUCAAAUGCAGAUUUGGUGAAAA